UACGGAGGGUGCAAACGUUGCUCGGAAUUAUUGGGCGUAAAGCGCGCGUAGGCGGCUACCUAAGUCGGAUGUGAAAGCCCCUGGCUUAACUGGGGAAGUGCACCCGAAACUGGGUAGCUAGAGUGCAAAAGAGGGUCGCGGAAUUCCCGGUGUAGAGGUGAAAUUCGUAGAUAUCGGGAGGAACACCGGUGGCGAAGGCGGCGACCUGGGUUGACACUGACGCUGAGGCGCGAAAGCGUGGGGAGCAAACAGG
rnacentral:rRNA from 1 species